CCUACGGGGCGGCAGCAGUGGGGAAUAUUGGACAAUGGGCGAAAGCCUGAUCCAGCCAUGCCGCGUGUGUGAAGAAGGCCUUCGGGUUGUAAAGCACUUUCAGUGGGGAAGAAAGCCUUGGGGCUAAUACCCUCGAGGAAGGACAUCACCCACAGAAGAAGCACCGGCUAACUCCGUGCCAGCAGCCGCGGUAAUACGGAGGGUGCGAGCGUUAAUCGGAAUUACUGGGCGUAAAGCGCGCGUAGGCGGUCUGAUAAGCCGGUUGUGAAAGCCCCGGGCUCAACCUGGGAACGGCAUCCGGAACUGUCAGGCUAGAGUGCAGGAGAGGAAGGUAGAAUUCCCGGUGUAGCGGUGAAAUGCGUAGAGAUCGGGAGGAAUACCAGUGGCGAAGGCGGCCUUCUGGACUGACACUGACGCUGAGGUGCGAAAGCGUGGGUAGCAAACAGGAUUAGAUACCCCUGUAGUC
rnacentral:rRNA from 1 species